GCUGCUCCUGGGCCUUCAGCCGCUCCUGCUGUGGAGAGGGCCGACAGGCAGGGUCAGCGCAGCAGGACCCAUCACCCAGCACCGGCCCCAGGCUCCCCCGGCCCACGGAGAACUCCAGGCGGGGUUGGGGGCUGCAGGACCCUGCCGGAGACGGACAUUCCGUCCCGGCUCGCAUAACAAGCACAGCAUUCCUUGUAGAAUUCCAGCAGAUGGGGCUGGGGAACCUCCGGUCUAGACCCUGAUCCCCGCCCCAGGACCCCCAGAGACAGAGCGCAGGGGGCCAGGCAGAGGCGGGAGGCUCCUGAAGACACAGGACUGUCCCACCCCAGCUCCCCCACGGGACAAGGACAGCUGCCUGCACGGAGGGUUCACCACCUGAGGACCCUCCCCUGCUUUAUGACAGCGCGCUCUCAAACACCACCACGGAGGAAACCUGGAGCCCAGAGAGGUGGAUUCACUCGCCCAAAGGCACUCAGCCAGGCGUGGCAGAACUAAAGGUUCAAAACCAGGGCCCCA